UACGAAGGGUGCAAACGUUGCUCGGAAUUAUUGGGCGUAAAGCGCACGUAGGCGGCUUUGUAGGUCGGAUGUGAAAUCCCUCGGCUUAACCAAGGAAGUGCAUCCGAAACUACAGAGCUUGAGUACUUAAGAGGAUCGCGGAAUUCCCGGUGUAGAGGUGAAAUUCGUAGAUAUCGGGAGGAACACCAGUGGCGAAGGCGGCGAUCUGGGAAGAUACUGACGCUGAGGUGCGAAAGCGUGGGGAGCGAACAGG
rnacentral:rRNA from 1 species